rnacentral:rRNA from 1 species
UACGUAGGGGGCUAGCGUUGUCCGGAACCAUUGGGCGUAAAGCGCGUGUAGGCGGUCCGGUAAGUCCGCUGUGAAAGUCGAGGGCUCAACCCUCGAAUGCCGGUGGAUACUGUCGGGCUUGAGUACGGGAGAGGCGAGUGGAAUUCCUGGUGUAGCGGUGAAAUGCGCAGAUAUCAGGAGGAACACCGAUGGCGAAGGCAGGUCUCUGGGCAUUAACUGACGCUGAGGAGCGAAAGCAUGGGGAGCGAACAGG